GUCAAGGUUGGCUGGGAUGAGUCAACAGCAGGUGAGCGGCAGCCAAGGGUAUCCUUAUGGGAGAUUGAGCCUUUAACUACUUUCCCCAUGUAUCCGUCACUGUUUCCCCUCAGACUUAGACGACCUUGGCAUCCUGGGUCCUCAUCUUUGCAUGAUAACAGAGAUGAAGCUGGUAAUGGCUUAAUGUGGCUUAGGGGUGGAACUGGUGAGCAGGGUAUUCACUCUCUAAAUUUUCAAGCUGUCAAUAUGUUUCCCUGGACACAGCAGAGACUGGAUCCAGCAUUGCUAGGGAAUGAUCAGAACCAGUGGUACCAGGC
rnacentral:misc_RNA from 1 species